UACGGAGGGUGCGAGCGUUGUCCGGAAUCAUUGGGCGUAAAGAGCUCGUAGGCGGCUUGUCACGUCGGCUGUGAAAACCUGGGGCUCAACCCCGGGCCUGCAGCCGAUACGGGCAAGCUAGAAUUCGGUAGGGGAGACUGGAAUUCCUGGUGUAGCGGUGAAAUGCGCAGAUAUCAGGAGGAACACCGGUGGCGAAGGCGGGUCUCUGGGCCGAUAUUGACGCUGAGGAGCGAAAGCGUGGGGAGCGAACAGG
rnacentral:rRNA from 1 species